GGCAGUGGUAGCUCAGUGGUCAAGAUAUAGGACUACUGCUCAGAAGGUCAUAAGUUCAAACCCUAGCACUGCCA